rnacentral:rRNA from 1 species
ACUCCUACGGGAGGCAGCAGUGGGGAAUAUUGGACAAUGGGGGGAACCCUGAUCCAGCCAUGCCGCGUGUGUGAAGAAGGCCUUAUGGUUGUAAAGCACUUUAAGCGAGGAGGAGGCUACUGAGACUAAUACUCUUGGAUAGUGGACGUUACUCGCAGAAUAAGCACCGGCUAACUACGUGCCAGCAGCCGCGGUAAUACGUAGGGUGCGAGCGUUAAUCGGAAUUACUGGGCGUAAAGCGUGCGCAGGCGGUUAUGUAAGACAGGUGUGAAAUCCCCGAGCUCAACUUGGGAAUUGCACUUGUGACUGCAUAACUANAGUGCGGCAGAGGGGGAUGGAAUUCCGCGUGUAGCAGUGAAAUGCGUAGAUAUGCGGAGGAACACCGAUGGCGAAGGCAAUCCCCUGGGCCUGCACUGACGCUCAUGCACGAAAGCGUGGGGAGCAAACAGGAUUAGAUACCCUGGUAGGUCAGU